UACGUAGGGGGCAAGCGUUGUCCGGAUUUAUUGGUGCGUAAAGAGCGUGUAGGCGGCCAAACAGGUCAGCUGUGAAAACUCGAGGCUCAACCUCGAGACGUCGGUUGAAACCGUUUGGCUAGAGUCCGGAAGAGGAGAGUGGAAUUCCCGGUGUAGCGGUGAAAUGCGCAGAUAUCGGGAAGAACACCCGUGGCGAAGGCGGCUCUCUGGGACGGUACU
rnacentral:rRNA from 1 species